rnacentral:rRNA from 1 species
UACGUAGGGCGCAAGCGUUAUCCGGAAUUAUUGGGCGUAAAGAGCGUGUAGGCGGCCUGAAAGGUCAGCUGUGAAAACUCGAGGCUCAACCUCGAGACGUCGGUUGAAACCAUCUGGCUAGAGUCCGGAAGAGGAGUGUGGAAUUCCCGGUGUAGCGGUGAAAUGCGCAGAUAUCGGGAAGAACACCCGUGGCGAAGGCGGCACUCUGGGACGGUACUGACGCUGAGACGCGAAAGCGUGGGGAGCAAACAGG